UACGUAGGGUGCAAGCGUUAAUCGGAAUUACUGGGCGUAAAGCGUGCGCAGGCGGUUAUGCAAGACAGAGGCGAAAUCCCCGGGCUCAACCUGGGAACUGCCUUUGUGACUGCAUAGCUAGAGUACGGUAGAGGGGGAUGGAAUUCCGCGUGUAGCAGUGAAAUGCGUAGAUAUGCGGAGGAACACCGAUGGCGAAGGCAAUCCCCUGGACCUGUACUGACGCUCAUGCACGAAAGCGUGGGGAGCAAACAGG
rnacentral:rRNA from 1 species